AGGGGCGGGAGGUAACUGAGCAAGGCAAAGGGGGGCAAAAAGAGCAGAGUGGGCAUGAGCAAGACGCAGACCCGGGGCUAAGGGAGCCUUCCGGCGGCAAGGGGCCAGGAGGCACGCUUACAGCAGAAUGUGCCGGGCGCCCCUGUAGGCGUGUGCGAGCGGAGUGCGCGUAUGUUCGCCAGGACAGUCCUCUCCAGAACAUCCCCAGUUCCUCCAUGAAGUCAAGACGCCACCCCCGAAUAUCUCAUGGGGUUGAGCUUUGACUGCAUCUCGCGCCCAGGACAAGGCAGUGACCAGAAAGAGCAGGGAGGUGCCCAGAAGGCAGAAACCAGGAGGCCAGGACGGCCGCACAGCCACGAGCUGGCCAAGUGGAAUCGCGCCUGCGCUGCCUUGGUCUCCAGUCCCAAGGAGGCCUGCCCCCCCCCCGCCCCCGUGGGCGCCAUCGCCACUUAAAAGCAGAACCUGAACUGGACUUGACCUGGAACUUGGCCACUUAAAAGUGGAACUCGACUUGGAAACUGAACCGGACCUGGGCUGGAGGGGUCUGGGGACCGGGGGGAGGACACGAGAGGCCUGUUCAGGGACCACCGAGAAAACGAGCUGGGCAGACCGUUAGGACGCCAGCGGGGGGAGCAGCCAAGAGCAGGCUCGAGAGAGACUCGAAGCUGAGCUAAGUUUAAGAGUUUGGACUUUUAACCUGUUGGCAAUGGGGAGCCACUGAAGGUUUGCUGACAGGAGAAGUGACGAGAGCCGGUGAGCGGCUGGCUGGGGGGAAGGGGCAGGGAGGAGGACAGGUGAGGCCCUGAAGCACAGCCGGUGUGGACGUCUCCCAGGUCAAAGAUGAAGUGGAUGACAAAGGAGCCCGGGGCUAGGGGUGCGGGGACCCUGCAGGGAGGCAGGCGGGCUGGGCUGUGGGGGGGGGGACCUGCCCCAGGAGCUCAUCUGGGGGGGAGAGGCGGGAGGACUUGCUGACCUUCACACUGCAUUUCUCAAGUGCAAACUUCCUCCCCUCUGUCUUCUCAAGUGUACAGAGGCUCCGCACCUUCUUGCUUUGGACUAACAGAGGUAUCUGUGUCUUGCUGGACAGAGAGAUGGGGCACCCCAAAACGCCCUUGUGGCAACCAUCCCCACGCCCCCGACCUGCAGCGCCUGGGGCUGGCUCUCCCUGCAGUCAGACCAGGGCCCGCCCUGCUUGGCACCCACGCAGCCGCCGGCCUGCCCGUUUACCGUUUCCCUCGUGCCAUUUAGAGCCCCCUGUGCAAAAGCAACCCUUCGCAUUUCAAGGGCUCUGUGGGCAAAAGUCUGCAAUUCCCCACUUAAAAUGCCCCACCUCCACGGCCAGCCACCCUCCUCGUGCACUAGGCUCUCGAUUCCAGGCUUCUACUUGCAAAGCCUGAAUGUGCCACUUUGCAGGUACUGCGCUUGAAGGUUUAAGAGUACUUUUCUCUGUCUCUCCUCUGCAUCUCUUCCCUCCCUGGGCCACCUGUGUCACUGUGCGCCUGGUUUCCAAACACAAUCCUCUGCCGCUUUCACACCCUCCAGUCUUCACUCCCCUGGGUAGACGGGGACUAUUUGGCCUAAAGCCCUGUGAUUACACCGGGUCUCAUCCUUCUCUAGCCCCAGAUGGAACCUUCCUUGCGCAUCUUUUUUCAUGUUAACUCCCCCUGGGCUCUGGGCUGUCCACACUGCAAGGAUCUCUGGGAUCCAGCGGGGGCCUGUCUUCCCUAGGACCUGCCUCUGUCAUGCUUGGCGGGCAGGACGCCGCCACCACGCUUCCUCCUUCUGUGGAAGUCUGGCCUGCAGUGCGGGCUGGGCCCUCCUGGCAGGGACCCUCCCUCUCUGCACCAGGUUUCUUCUCCUGUACCUUGCCGAGAAAGGAAGCACGCUCUGUAGUACUUUUUGAAGUCUUUUCUGCUCAUCAGAAAGAUCCAGCCGAGUAUCUGCAUGGGUUUACAACCUGCCAUACGAUCGACUAGGUGGCGACCCCUUCCCAGACGUUGGGACCAUCUUCUGCCACCCCACCCCCGCCCCCUGGCGUCCUGGAAAUCCUGUUCCUCCAGACAGGGUGGCUCUUUGGGCACGGAGAGGAAUCUGCCAGCUCACCCAAGUCCUUCCCCUCCGGGGUGGGCGAUACCUUCCUCUGGGCCCUCUGGCCUCAGGUAUCCCGGAUGGUCCUUGGAGCCCCACGUGUGAACCCCCGGCCAUGACAUCCACGUCUGGAUGCCAUGGUGUCGACCCAGGAGGCAUUGUGGUACCCACGAGGUGCUACAGAAGAGCCACAGGCAGGGAUGGUCACGGACUGUGGCCUAUGCCUCCAAGGCUAGAAUGCAGAAGCUCGAAGCAGGGUGUAGGAAAAACGCACCCUAAAAUUCUGACUCCUCAAGCUGCAUGUCCUGGGCCCGCAGCCCGGCACCUCCAGGGAGCCUGCUGAGGACACGGGCUCCCUGGCCGCAGACCUUCGGGUCACCACGUGGGGGCAGCCUGUCCGGGCUCUGGCGGUGAGUUCUCACACGUCUGCACACGCUAUGUGGCAUCGGCCUCAGUGGGCCUCUCGGUGGUCCCCAGGUUGGCCCCUGGGGCCUUGGGCCUCCGCCUCUCCCACCCGGCCACCCCUCCCAGGACACCCAGCCCUGGAGCCUCCUCCUCCCAGCUCAGGCAUGCCCUGCUGGGGGGCUCGAGAAACACGCAGCCGCAGCCCCCACAGCAGAAGCCACAUGCUGCCUGGCCAUCAGUCGGGGUCACCACCCUGCCCGGUGCUGCCUGGUCCCCCUCAGGGCGAAGUUCAAGGAUUUCAGACUCCCUUGGGUCCCUUAGUCACUGCGCUCACAGGGCUGCCCUUCAAAAGCACUGUGGUGUGAACGGAGAGUGUUUCUCUAGACGGGUCCAAACCCAUUCUCUGCCCCGAGGGCAGCAGCCACGCCCCUCACGGUCUGGACGCGGGUGAGCGUGGCCACCCGACACAGCCCGGACACCCUCCUCCGUGUCAGCGAGGGAACUGUGCAGCGGAGGCGCGGCCAGGGCCGGCUGGGGAAGUGGUGCAACCGGCCUCCGCUCAGCCCUGCUUAGGGCUCGGGGACUUGGGUCCAGGCUCUGAAGGCCAGAGGAACUCGCCCUGCUCGGAGGAAACAGUUGGAAUUCACAUGAACCCUGUGAGCCCGAGUGUCCUCGCCUGUAGGAUAAAGACCCUGUACCCCACGAUCUCUGAGGGCCACUCCGGGGUGAACACGGCUCCGCCCCCUGCCCCCGCCGGCAGAUUCCAUGAUGGCAUCAUGCCCAGGAGGGUUCAGCCCUUGGGUUGGCCCUUUCCAGGCUCUGGGAUCUCGUCCCGCAGAGAGUUAUUAGGGCCUUAGGAGAGAAGAUGCAAACACUUUAAACACAAGAACUCUGAUGUAGAAUCUAGUCUACGACAGAGGCCACCUUGAGAGAUGCCGCCAGUGCCGCAGUGGCCCCGGGACAAUUGGAUGGACGCUUGGGAGCAAACGAAAUUGAGUCCAAACCUCAUCCAGCAGCUGCCCCGGAACCGCGUCCAGGGCACUGGGGGCUUUCAGUGCUGCAAGGCCUGCAGGGGUGGGGAGGCCCGCGGGGGUCGGGGAAGCCGGCGGGCGGGGGUCUGGGUGCGCUCGUCCUGCGCGCGGAGCUUCGGCUCGCCCUGCCCUGCGAGCCCGCACUUGACAGGCUCCCCGCCACCCGGGCAGCAGCUGUCUCUUGCGCACUCUGCUCAGGGACGUGAGGACCCACGGUCGGUCGCUGAGCCUGUCUCUGCUGGGGAGGGCGAGCGCAGGGUCAGCACUGCUCGGGCUGGCCCUCACUGCUGGGCGCGGCAGGGAGUGGCUGCUCCCCGGCCACGCAGAGAUAAUGAUGGCCCACUGCGGUGGCGAGCUGAGCCCAGCGCUCAGGCAGCCUUCACCCUUCCCUACGUUCCAGAUGGAAAUACUUUCAGACGGGGGAGAAACGCAGGAGGGGGCAGACAGGAGGCAGACCGGCCUCGGAGCUCUUCCUGCGAGCCAGGGCCUGCCCCAGGGGCCUCGCCCUUCGUGCUUCUUGGUGAGGCCUCCCGCGUCUGUUAGCUCUUGCCGAUGCCGGGAGGAGAUGGGUCACUCAGCAGCGCAGUCCCGUAAAGGACAGUUGGAGGGUUUUCUCUCAAACGGCUGUUUUAAAUAUUUAUGGCCGCGGGGGGAUGCUCGCAUGGGUAAGUGAAAAGAUGAGGUCAGAUGGCCCAAUUUUGCGGAGAGAAACGUGGCAAGGCGCACACGCUGAAGUCCAGAGGUCACUCGUUGUCCAUGCAGAGCUGGUGCCUCUCUUGUCCGGCCGCUGAGGCCCACAUUCCCCGCCACAGCGCUUGUUCUCUGUCACCCCCGGCGGCGACGUGUCGCGUCCUCCCCAGCUCUCGAGCCUUCCAACUAGCACAGCGCCUGGCACAAGCGGGCGCUCAAUACCCGUCUGCAAAUGACGAGCGAACGUGGGACGGACGGACGGACGGACGGACGGAUGGAUGGGGAGGAGAGAGAGAGGGAGAGAGGGCAGGAGGCAGGGAGUUCAGAGGGAAACAUACCAAAAUCCUAACAAGGGUCAUUAUCAUCUGAACAACUUAUUUCAUCUUCUUUAUAAAUAUGUGACUUCCAAAUCUUCACCAAUAAAAUGAUCACUUUUAUGAUAAAUUUUUUUCAUCAAAGUUCUGUGAUUUAUCAACGAAUCAGUCUGAAUGCUUCCUCGUAAUUUCGAGUCCUAUUUUUAGCUGAAUCAAGAAGGCCCUGAAGUAGGCUAUGUCUAUGAGAGCGGCCAGGUCUUCCAGAGCCAGCGCCGGGAGACAGGCUCUGACGGGCUCGAAAUGCUCAUAGAAGCGGGACUGUCUGGAAGCAGGGCGCCCCGCAAAGGCAAGACCCCCGCAUCUAAGGAACAAGUGCUCCACUUAGGGGAGAGGACCAGUAACACUGGGUCGUGGACGGACGGCGACCCUCAGGAGGACAGUGGGCCUGUUGGCCCCUCGAAAGUGCCCACGUAAGGGUGAGAAGAGGGAGCUGUCAGAGGGAGGAAGACACGCGACCUGGGCGCCAUGCUCCUCCCAGCUACACUUUGCUUCCCUGAGGCUGAGCCCAUUCUGCUUUUGGGAUGAUGGAUACUGUCUUCCAAAGGGAGGAGCUGGAUUAUCAGACGAGGAGCGGCACUCGCAGAGAGGUUAAGAGAUGUGCCUAAGGGUCGCACAAGGGGUAAAUGUUAGCACCGCGAUUCCAGCCCGGGGAGUCUGGCUUCAGAGGCCAAGCUCAACUUACGUCACAAACGAGCCUCUUUCCCAUGCAGAACAUUUCCAGUAAUUAUUUUCCACGGGACAGUGAUUCUAACCAAAGGAGUGAGAGAAAAGUAUACCGACGUUCGCCAGGACCUUGAGGGAAUUAAGAGGCCGGCUGAAUCAAGAAACGGUCUCAGAAUCUCAUAAUGCGGGCAACACAAUCAUUACAAAGUAAAACAAUGUGAUCUUGGAGCAGUGGCAAUCUCAAAGCAUAUCUCUACAUCUCAAUUAAAAAAAAAAAAAA